rnacentral:rRNA from 1 species
GACGAACGCUGGCGGCGUGCUUAACACAUGCAAGUCGAACGGAAAGGCCCUGCUUUUGUGGGGUGCUCGAGUGGCGAACGGGUGAGUAACACGUGAGUAACCUGCCCUUGACUUUGGGAUAACUUCAGGAAACUGGGGCUAAUACCGGAUAGGAGCUCCUGCUGCAUGGUGGGGGUUGGAAAGUUUCGGCGGUUGGGGAUGGACUCGCGGCUUAUCAGCUUGUUGGUGGGGUAGUGGCUUACCAAGGCUUUGACGGGUAGCCGGCCUGAGAGGGUGACCGGCCACAUUGGGACUGAGAUACGGCCCAGACUCCUACGGGAGGCAGCAGUGGGGAAUAUUGCACAAUGGGCGGAAGCCUAAUGCAGCAACGCCGCGUGCGGGAUGACGGCCUUCGGGUUGUAAACCGCUUUCGCCUGUGACGAAGCGUGAGUGACGGUAAUGGGUAAAGAAGCACCGGCCAACUACGUG